rnacentral:rRNA from 1 species
GAUGAACGCUGGCGGCGUGCCUAAUACAUGCAAGUCGAGCGAACAGACGAGGAGCUUGCUCCUCUGACGUUAGCGGCGGACGGGUGAGUAACACGUGGAUAACCUACCUAUAAGACUGGGAUAACUUCGGGAAACCGGAGCUAAUACCGGAUAAUAUAUUGAACCGCAUGGUUCAAUAGUGAAAGACGGUUUUGCUGUAACUUAUAGAUGGAUCCGCGCCGCAUUAGCUAGUUGGUAAGGUAACGGCUUACCAAGGCAACGAUGCGUAGCCGACCUGAGGGUGAUCGGCCACACUGGAACUGAGACACGGUCCAGACUCCUACGGGAGGCAGCAGUAGGGAAUCUUCCGCAAUGGGCGAAAGCCUGACGGAGCAACGCCGCGUGAGUGAUGAAGGUCUUCGGAUCGUAAAACUCUGUUAUUAGGGAAGAACAAAUGUGUAAGUAACUAUGCACGUCUUGACGGUACCUAAUCAGAAAGCCACGGCUAACUACGUG